rnacentral:rRNA from 1 species
UACGUAGGGUGCAAGCGUUGUCCGGAAUUAUUGGGCGUAAAGAGCUCGUAGGCGGUUUGUCGCGUCGGGAGUGAAAACUCAGGGCUCAACCCUGAGCGUGCUUCCGAUACGGGCAGACUAGAGGUAUGCAGGGGAGAACGGAAUUCCUGGUGUAGCGGUGGAAUGCGCAGAUAUCAGGAGGAACACCGGUGGCGAAGGCGGUUCUCUGGGCAUUACCUGACGCUGAGGAGCGAAAGCAUGGGGAGCGAACAGG